ACCCAGCUGACGAAUCCCAAAUAGGACGAAAUGCGCGUCCUGGAU
rnacentral:hammerhead_ribozyme from 1 species